rnacentral:rRNA from 1 species
GACGAACGCUGGCGGCGUGCUUAACACAUGCAAGUCGAACGGAAAGGCCCUGCUUGCCGGGUACUCGAGUGGCGAACGGGUGAGUAACACGUGGGUGAUCUGCCCUGCACUUCGGGAUAAGCCUGGGAAACUGGGUCUAAUACCGGAUAGGAGCCAUUUUUAGUGUGAUGGUUGGAAAGUUUUUUCGGUGUAGGAUGAGCUCGCGGCCUAUCAGCUUGUUGGUGGGGUAAUGGCCUACCAAGGCGGCGACGGGUAGCCGGCCUGAGAGGGUGGACGGCCACAGUGGGACUGGGAUACGGCCCAGACUCCUACGGGAGGCAGCAGUGGGGAAUAUUGCACAAUGGGCGCAAGCCUGAUGCAGCGACGCCGCGUGGGGGAUGACGGCCUUCGGGUUGUAAACUCCUUUCGCUAGGGACGAAGCUUUUUGUGACGGUACCUAGAAAAGAAGCACCGGCUAACUACGUG